UGCGGCUCCACCACGGCUCCCAUCCUCAUCAAAGAUAACAUCUUGACCACCUCGGAUGGCUGCAGGCCUACGCUUGGCUCGGAGGGUGUUUGAGCUGGGGAGGAUUUUGUUGUAAGCAUCUUUUAAAUCUUUUAUUUGUACAGUGAUGGGAAAAAGGGUAUGUGGAGGAGACUCUGAGUCUUAAACUGGGGGUAUAAACUGCUGCUCUGCAAACUCUGAAAUCCAAGCAGCCACACGUGCUUUUGGGACUGGUUCACAUGCCUGAAGACACACAGAGGUGCCCCCAAGGGGGUUUCUGGCACAGGUAAGCCCAGAUCAGGAGCCAGCUUCCAGCCCCAAAGGGAGUUCAGGCAUCGAGCCCGCAGCGUUAGCCAGGUCCUGCUCUGCUCAAGCCAUCCCAACCACCCACUCCUUCUCCCACUGCUCCUACCAGACCAGGGCAAGCACCAGUGUCUCAGUGGGGCAGCCUGGGACCCCGGCGUCCCACGGGCACUGCCUGGCCCCAGAGAGGCACCGCUCAGCCCCGGACCCUCCAACCCUGAUGGCACAAGCAAGCUACCACAGACGGUCAAGGACAGCACUGAUCCAUGAGAACCAAACGGAGAUACUACAGCCUGUGACCCCAAAACUCUCAAGAAAAGAGCAUCAAGUUGUACGGUCUGAUCUCAGCAGAGGGAUGGAGGAGGUAACUCACAAGCCCAUCCUUCUGUCCUCCAGAGAGUAAAGGGCACUGAUUUUGCCCAGUCCCACACACCACCCCUAGAGUGACGCUGCUGGACGCCCCCGGCACCGCUCACACCACGGCUCGCUCCGGCACGAAGACACUGCGGGGAGCUACGGACACACUGCCACUGGUUACAGCUCCCUACAAGCAGUUAUACAGGUACAAAUUUGGAGAAACUCCUCCAAAGCCAGCGGAGUCAUCUCUUUGGGAAGGCUGCCUGAGCAGGAAAGAGAAAGAAAGGGAAGUGCAGAAAACAAGAGGAGGUCGGCUGGGAUCUGCAUCGAAGGUACCGGAGACACGGGUCAAUGUUCACCUUCUGGAUGGCUGUAAGUGACACCCCUCCUGACCACAGCCAGGCUACACGGAGAUGCCUGCUCUCCCCUUUGACCAGCUGAGCCCAAUAAGCUCCUAUCUGGAUAGGAAUGUGCAAUUUUCUCAAAUUCAGGUUUUUGAACGGCCUGUGCCAGACACAGCACUACAGCCAUAAUUUUACCUCUGUAGGUCAGAGGAGUGUCGAUUUGCUGUCUCCUCUCCAUCACUAGCUGGUGUGCCCCUCCUAGGUGCCAUAAUACCCUUUAUGCCUAGAACUACACACAACCCAGGCUGCAAAUGUAUACAGAGAAACAGCCGUUUCCAAAGAACUGUCCAUCAGAGACUAGCCAGGCAGUAUUUUCCUUGUACGUUUCAUCAAAUAUUCCAAGUAAACACACAAAUAAUUCAUUCAGAGGCAGGGCCCCACCUGAGCACCCAAUUACAGUCAGCUCUGCACUCCCGAGGGGCAGCCACUGCCUCCCCACAGUCCCCGGCAGCGGUGACCCCCUCCCCUGAGCAGCAAACACCUUCAUCACAGCAGACAGCUCAGCUCUGCUGGGGCUCCCAACGUGCCAGUGAGCAGGAGGUCCUGGAGAGGUGGACGCAGACGGGUCUGAAAAAUCAGUUUCCCUGUAAAUUCCUUCCCUCCCGUCCCCCCCAAGUCACCGGAGUGAAGGGUUGGGGCUACUAGGACUCUUCUCCUUCCCCACCAAAGCUACUGCUCCAGCUGGGCAACCACAGCCCUGGGUAACACGGGGAAAUGUGCUGUUACGGUGUCCUUCCCAUCUCCAGGACUGAGACAAGGUAUCUAACAGCAUCUUUCCCAGCUGGCGUUACACCCCUGUUACUAAUUUCUGUUAUUUUCCACAAAAAAUAACAGAAUACUGUUGUUUUCCUCUGCCUGUGAGGGGAAGCAGCUCCUCACCUCCAGCCCCAGGCUCUGCCCCACUCACUGGAAGCAUCCCAGCAGGAACACUGGUCCAUCAGCUCAUGGGAACCCACGCUUCACACCUUCCCCUGGGCUCAUCGGAGCACGGCACGGCCUUGUGGGACCUCAGCCACGCAGCACCCCACAAAACAGCUCAUUUUACACCCCCUGAUCCAGCAGCCUGGCAAUGGCAGCUCCUGCCCUCGCUCCAGCUCCCACUCGCUACCAGAGUUGGAAGUUUUGGUGGGAGACCAUGCUGAAAAUAAACUGCUGAAACUGAGCCUCAGAUCCAGGAGACCUGGGAUUCCUCUCCCAACCAGCCCCCCAUGAUGACAGUCUGUGCCCAUGGAAGAUUCACACCGCCAGGAGCUCCAGCCACCCACACGGAAUAACGG